rnacentral:rRNA from 1 species
GACGAACGCUGGCGGCGUGCUUAACACAUGCGAGUCGAACGGAAAGGCCCUGCUUGCCGGGUGCUCGAGUGGCGAACGGGUGAGUAACACGUGGGUGAUCUGCCCCUUACUUUGGGAUAAGCCUGGGAAACUGGGUCUAAUACUGGAUAGGACCAUGCUGUAGGUGGUGUGGUGGAAAGAUUAGUUUCGGUAAGGGAUGAGCUCGCGGCCUAUCAGCUUGUUGGUGGGGUAAUGGCCUACCAAGGCGUCGACGGGUAGCCGGCCUGAGAGGGUGGACGGCCACAUUGGGACUGAGAUACGGCCCAGACUCCUACGGGAGGCAGCAGUGGGGAAUAGUGCACAAUGGGCGCAAGCCCGAUGCAGCGACGCCGCGUGGGGGAUGACGGCCUUCGGGUUGUAAACUCCUUUCAGCCAUGACGAAGCCCUUGUGGUGACGGUAGUGGUAGAAGAAGCACCGGCUAACUACGUA